GAUCCCCCGUGUAAGAGUGAGGUGGAGGAGGACAUUCCAGGAGAUGUCACCACAGAAAAUCCCAGUAAGAAUUCUGAGGAAAACUUCAUGUUAUCAAUAAAUUAUAAAGUGGAAGAUGAAGAUGUCCUGCAGUACUCUUCAGAAGAAAACGUAAUUACCCUAAUAGUACAUCCAGGACUUCACAGUACAGAUUUAUCCUGUAAUCCUCCUAAUCAUGAGGAACCUUCUCCUGACCAAUCACAGAUUGUUACAAGUACAGGUCAGAAAGGGGGUGAAAGGUUUCACUAUGGUAAAGAGUUCAUACAAAGCUUAGGUCUUUCUGCACACAAAGUAAUUCAUACAGGAGAGAAACCAUACUCCUGUUCACAUUGCAAGAAAUGUUUUACAGAUAAAUCACAUCUUGUUACACAUGAGAUAAGUCACAUAGGAGAGAAGCCAUAUUCAUGUUUAGAAUGUGGUAGAUGUUUUACACAUAAAUCAUAUCUUGUUGCACAUGAGAGAAGUCAUACAGGUGAGAAGCCAUAUUCAUGUUCAGAAUGUGGAAAAUAUUUUACUCAAAAAGCAAGUCUGUUUAAACAUCUGAGAUUUCACACAGGAGAGAAGCCGUAUUCAUGUUCAGAAUGUGGGAAAUGUUUUGCACAAAAAUACAACCUUGUUGAACAUCAGAGAAUUCACACAGGGGAGAAGCCAUAUUCAUGUUCAGAAUGUGGGAAGUGCUUUAAACAAAGAACAAAUCUUAUUCGACAUCAGAGAUCUCACACGGGAGAGAAACCAUAUUCAUGUUUAGAAUGUGGGAAAUGCUUUACGUAUAACACUCAACUUGCUAUACAUGAGAAAAAUCACACAGGAGAGAAGCCAUUUUCAUGUUUAGAAUGUGGGAAAUAUUUUAUAUAUAAAUCACAACUUGUUAUGCAUGAGAGAAUGCACACAGGAGAGAAACCAUAUUCAUGUUCAGAAUGUGGGAAAUGUUUUAGACAAAAAUCAGAUCUUGUAACACAUAACAGAAUUCACACAGGAGAGAAGCCAUAUUCAUGUUCAGAAUGUGGGAAAUGUUUUACACAGCAAACACAUUUUCGUAAGCAUCAGAGAUUUCACACAGGAGAGCAGCCGUAUUUAUGUUCAGAAUGUGGGAAAUGUUUUACAGGGAAAUCAAUGCUUGUUGCACAUGAAAAAAGUCACAAAGGAGAGAAACCAUAUUCAUGUUCAGAAUGUGGGAAAUGUUUUACAGGGAAAUCUAUUCUUGUUGCACAUAAAAGAAGUCACACAGGAGAGAAACCGUUUUCAUGUUCAGAAUGUGGAAAAUGUUUUACAGAUAAAUCAAAUCUUGUAAAACAUUUGAGAAUUCACACAGGAGAGAAACCAUAUUCAUGUUCUGAAUGUGGGAAAAGUUUUACACGGAAAUCAUAUCUUGUUAAACAUCAGAAAUUUUACACAGGGAAAAGCCAUACUCUUGUUAGGAAUUAAAACUUAUUAAACAUAAUAGAAUUCACAAAGGUGAGAAACCAUUUUAACAUGCCCAUAUGAUCCAAAUUAAUUCUACCAAACACUAAAUUGCUAUAAUUGCCUGGAAAAGUCUUUUUUUCAUUGUAUCUCUUCUCCUUGAUUGACCGAAAUCAAAUCGCACACAUUUCAAAUCUGAUAGAAUCAGGAGUUUCCUACAGACUAACCCUCCUGCUGGCAUGAUGGCUAUAUCACUGGUUUAUCUGACCGGGUGAUCUGUGAUAAUUGACCCUAUAUGUACAUUCCUGUGGUUUAAUGGUAAACCUAUCUAGGUACUGGAGCCGAGUUAUAUAUCGGUAGUGAGAAUCGUUUGUGAUGUCACAUCUUCUAAUUAACCCCUGAAUAAUGACAACAUGAAUUCAGUGACCAAAUGAUGCUCCUAUAUGUCUUUCAUAUGUAUCCUCCUCCUUCUUUAUUACCUGCAGAUCAUGAAUGGAGACAUGAUGAUAAAUUAUUAGUAAUCUGUAUGUCUCUGAUAAGUACUGGCCAGUAGGUCGCUCACUCACUGUAACCCGGUUGUGGGGAAUAAUAAAAGUAUAAUAAAUAAUAUAAAUGUGACAAUCGCAACACAGUUGUACAGCAAUAUGCGCAUGAUAUAUCCAAACAAUGGCCCAGAUUUACUAAUGGCUUUGCAAAAACAACCGGUCUACAAAGUGGCACAAUUUGGUGCAUCUAGGGUGUCUACACUUUUUUUCUCAAUGUGUUCAACUUUGGGUCGGGGGCUUAGUGGAAAGGAAUUGGAGCUUUGUGUGAAAGGGAUUAGGGCCUACGAUGCACCACUCUGCACCAAAAGUGUAGAACUAUUCUGGUGUAAAAAUGUCUCAAAGUAAGCUACAGAGUCAGAGAAAAGUGAUUUAUCCUUUAGCCAGUGCCCCGUUCAUGGUGCAGGUCUAGAGGCCGAUCUAAGCUUCCACCAUCUUUACGAUUAGUAAAUCUGGGCCAAUAUCUCUCAGGGUGACUCAGGUAGUUUUCGUCUCAGGUUGUAAUUUUAUAUUUCAAACGUUCAUUGACGCCACACGACGACUCCUUGGAAACAUCUGAUAAUUCCUGUAUAGGGAGAUAUGUACCGGAAGUUUCUUUAUGACUUAUAUUUGAAGUCUUACAGUUAUAGGUGUUUUCUUAGACAUGUAUGGCAUAUCCACAGACUUGGAGAGGUUAUAUCAAAGCCUCCCUCAAAGUCUGGAUACAGUGGCCAGCAGGAUGGCCUCAGAGACCCCAUUUUCUACAGAUAGCUGGAUGUGCCAGAGGACAAUGGAUAUGCCAUAAAUGUCUGAGAUGAGAAUAUCCAUUUUAAGCAGCUUUUCACAAAACAGCAAACAAAAAUUCAUAGCCUUUAUAGUUCCCGUUAAAAGUAAUUUUAUUAAUACUUUUAAAAUAUUCAAAUACAGGUGAAACUCGAAAAAUUUGAAUAUCGUGUAAAAGUCUAUUUAUUUCAGUAAUGCAAAUUAAAAGGAAUUGCAUUAAUG